UACGGAAGGGGCAAGCGUUGUUCGGAAUCAUUGGGCGUAAAGGGCGCGUAGGUGGCUCUGUAUGUCUACCGUGAAAGCAUACAGCUCAACUGUAUUUUGUCGGUAGAAACUGCAGGACUUGAGGCUGGGAGAGGCUGGUGGAAUUCCCUGUGUAGCGGUGAAAUGCGUAGAGAUGGGGGAGAACACUCGUGGCGAAGGCGGCCAGCUAGACCAGUUCUGACACUGAGGCGCGACAGCGUGGGGAGCAAACAGG
rnacentral:rRNA from 1 species